UGUAUAUGUUCCAGACCGUAUGAGUAUUUGGACCGUACGCGUACGGUCUGGACCGUAUGCGUACUUUUUCAAAAUACGCAUACGGUCGGACCGUACGCGUACGGUCUGACUGAUAUUAAGAAGUUGGUCAAGCUUAUUAGAUACAAAUGUAUAUAACAUAUCAACAUGACUUAUAUCUCCAAUUAAUAUAAAAAGUUCAACAGCAUUUUACAUAAAAACUUAAUAUUCUUAGACUAACUAUUUAAAAAGAUCACGC
rnacentral:lncRNA from 1 species